GUUCCGUAGGUGAACCUGCGGAAGGAUCAUUGUCGAAACCUGCCCAGCAGAACGACCCGCGAACUUGUAUAAACAACUGGGGGCGGGGGGCGUUCUCGCCCCGUGCCCCCGAACGGCGGGGAGACACUCGUGCCUUCUUGCCGAACAACGAACCCCGGCGCGGUCUGCGCCAAGGAACUUCAACUAAAGAGUGCCUCCGGUCGCCUCGGAAACGGCGUGCGUGCCGGAGGCGAAUCUUGUGCAAAACCAUAACGACUCUCGGCAACGGAUAUCUCGGCUCUC
rnacentral:misc_RNA from 1 species